CUGCCCGCUCCCCUCUCCCCCACCCAGCCCUUCCCGUGGGACUUUUUCCCCUGCCCUUCUGGGCGUCCUGCGGCCCCUUACCUGGGCAGGAGACCGGCCUUGGCUCCUCUGCCCCCAUUAAACUCCUUCCUGGGGCCGAGUGGCUCUGGCACCGGGCAGGUUUGGUGCUGGUCUCGCAUCUUCCCCUUCUCCCCGCCGCGUCAGCUGGAGGACGAAGCCCGGAGCGGUGCGGGGUGGGCUCCUCAAAGUUCCCCUGCUGCUGCUGCCCGCUUGUGCUGGGUCUCAGGUCCUGCCCGUCCUGGUGCAAGCAGCUCCUUCCUCUGGUGUUGGCUGGCUCUGCGUGCGGAGCCAUCUGUCCUGGGGAGCGGCUGCUGCUGCUCCUGGCAACUCCUUCAGCUGUAGCAGAGCCGCCUUUUUGCUGGGUGUCUCCUGCUAACCAGGUCGCUUCCUCCUGUUUCCCUGGGUUUGUUAUAAAUCCGUCUGUGUAUGUUUUAAUUUGACCUGCGACCUCUUGGAAAGUCAAGGUAAAGGGGACAGGGAAAGUAAGUUGUGAGUCUCAAGAAGCCCGCCGAGUGAUUGAGUUGGGUCCCGGUGGUGCACGGACAGCUGAAGGCAUUUAUAGAUGCUAAAGGGGAGGGGAAGAGGGAUCUUCCUUCGGGGUGAACCAUGUAUCCGCAAAGACUUGCAGGGUGUGAAAUGGUGCUUUUUGUUUUUCAUGACCUUGAGUUCAGAGACUGAGAAACGCGGGCACAUCCAAACAGUUAGGAAUCGCAUCGCUCAGCUGAGAACGGGCCCGGCUGCUUUGGGGACGCUCUCCGCCUUGCUGGAGCUUUUUGGAAGGGCAGCAGGCCAGAGGUUUGGACUUUGGAGCUCGGCUCUGCAGGGUGCUCGGCCGUGUUGCUGCCUUAGCGCGUGUCUUUGCACUGCAGGAGCAGGAGAGUCGGAGAAGUGAAGCACCGCUAACCGCAGGUGGGACGGGGUCUGCGCUUCAGGGUGCGGUUUGAGGAGAGGCUGGUACUGGGGACGGGGUGGUGGCGAUGCUCCUGAAGGGUGAUCGUGAAACGUGCUUCAGUGGUCCUCUAAAAAAGGACCAGAAAAGGUCUCGGUGAUCUCUUAGGUGUAGGCACAGUGGCGCUGCUUGUGUGAUCAUCGCUGGUACCAACAGCGUGGCUUUAUCCCAAAUUGUCCUUAAGUGGGACUUUAUCCUCUCGUUUCAUGAGUUGGUUGCGCUGGUUUAGGGAACAGCCAGGGAACUGCACGAGUGGUUAGGAAAUGGUAUUUCUGAAAGUGAACAGAACUUGUACGGCAGUGAGGUUUUGCCGAGAGAUGUCCUACAGAGAGCGACGUGCCUUUGGGGGUGGCGUUUGGACGGGCUCUCCGAAGGGACUCGGUGACUGGAAGCCUAUACGAGCCUAAGGGGUCGGAGGCGCUGGUUAUUCUUCUCCAGUUAGUUGUGGUUACUUUCCAGGAGCCUUACAAGGCUUAGGGGUUUUCACGCUUUCUACUGGGGUCAGUUUUUAGCUAAAUUGGAGGCAGAUGAUCCCCGUGUGCAACGGUGUGGUGCAGAAUUAGGUAUUUGUGGUGAGUGUGGGUCUGGGGCUGUGACCGGCUGUGCCUGAUGGAAAAAGUCUGACCUGGAAUGGGAGUUUGGGACUCCCUAAUUCCUAGCCUGUGAUUCCACAAUAAUUUAAGCUUGCCAAGGACUUUGCAGCUGUAGUUUCUUACUGCUGAAUACCUCUCGAGCAGCAAAGAACAGCAAGAAAAGCUCCUCGAGUCUCCUUGGCCAAGCACGCGUGUGUUCUGGGAGGCCUUUAUGCGUUUAACAGCGUUCAGUCAAACCUCUGUGUAAGCCAGAGAGACACCUUAGACUCAUGUUUUCCCAUUUGACUGUUUUUUUCCAGGCCUGUCCUCUUUUUUUUAAUAGUCAAACACUACAAAGUUUGCAUUGGCAUCUCAGGUAUGCCAGCCACUCAACAAUUUGCUGGUGUAUAGCCUUGGAUGCCGGUGUUAGUACGUUUAAGGUCAGUUUUGCAUCAAAUGUUUUGUUUUAGACCCUUAUUCACCCAGCUUUGCCAACCAAAGGACUGAUUUCGUGGGUGAUUUUGUUGACCUUUAACUGUUACGAGCUAAAGUGAAGACGUUGAUCUCUUGAGACCUGCUGAAGGAUGGUCUGCUGUGGACACCUCCAAGUUACUGCUGGGAAGCUCCACGGCACAGCUGCAAUCCUACAAAUCCUUGGUAUCACUCGCAGAGACACCAACCUGCGGUGUGUUCCUGUGCUCCUUCAGAAAAUGCGCGUGAAAUGAACUCCAGAACGCGUACAGCUUCGUGGCAGAAGAGACUUUGUUGGAGGGGAAGGGAAUUUGAGUCUGUCUUAAGGAGCAGGGGGAUUCCGAUGCUCAUAUUUUCUUCUGAACGUCCCGGUCGCACGGUCAGAGAGUAAAUUUACGGUAUUAUUAGUGGUUUUGCAGUAACUUAUUGAGAAGUAAAUGGGCUUCUUGGUGUGGGUUCUUUAUCUCUGCCGUGUGCAGAGUGGGAGGUCUGUGCCUUUCCAAGACCACGCGUUUCCCCAGGUGUAUGCUUCAGGUCAUUGGGUGAACUGUUGUGGCAGGUCGGUGUCAAAUAAAAAGGAGUUGUCUAGAAAUUAGCCA
ensembl:lncRNA